rnacentral:rRNA from 1 species
GCUGGCGGCCUUAGCGCGGUGGUCCCACCUGACCCCAUGCCGAACUCAGAAGUGAAACGCCGUAGCGCCGAUGGUAGUGUGGGGUCUCCCCAUGCGAGAGUAGGGAACUGCCAGGC